UUUAAGUUCUUUACGGAUGGAGGCCCCUCCUUCUCCUUCUCCUUCUCCUUCUUCAGGUAUUUCCAUUAACUAUCAACUAUCAGUGUUAAUUUUCAGGGAUUAGUGGAUUGCGUUGCAGCGGCUUACUAAUACACUAAGCAUGAGAGAACUAGAACUAGAAAGCUGGUGCACCCAACUUGGUGCAAUAAUCGUCGAUUUUCAGCAUGUCAGCCAUGUCGUGUAGACAAGAAAACAGCCUCACUCGCAAAGAAAUUCUUACAAGCUAAUGCCAAUCCGUCUUUAGCUGCAAUCAUUGAGAAAAGAGCAAAUUUGAUCUUCAUUGCUUUAUAUGUGUUUGAGUUAUUGGAUUCCUCGACUGAGAUACUGACAAAGGAAGUUCAAUUGGUUAAGGAAAAGCUUGGUAUUGAAGAAAUUGUUGAGGACGAGGGACCGCUUGCUAUGCUGAAAAAAAAAACAAAAGCCUUGUUAACAAGGGGAGAUAAUCCAGGGGAAGACAUGUACGUAGUUCAUUUUCCUUGGUAGUUUGUAAGGCAAUGGUUUCUACAUGAUUGAAAUUUUGAAGUGUGUACAUAGUAGUUCUUAAGGAAGAAACCUGGAAAUGCAAUUAGACUUCCUUUUUUAUUAUGACAGUAAUGUAUUGGUUUAACAAGAAGUUAUUCCUUUUUUAUUUUGA